rnacentral:rRNA from 1 species
AUAAUCAUGGAGUAUAAUAAUUAAAUUUAAUAAAUUUAAUAUAACUAUUAAUAGAAUUAGGUUACUAAUAAAUUAAUAACAAUUAAUUUUAAAACCUAAAGGUAAACCUUUAUAUUAAUAAUGUUAUUUUUUAUUAUAUUUAUAAUAAGAAUAAUUAUUAAUAAUAAUAAACUAAGUGAACUGAAACAUCUAAGUAACUUAAGGAUAAGAAAUCAACAGAGAUAUUAUGAGUAUUGGUGAGAGAAAAUAAUAAAGGUCUAAUAAGUAUUAUGUGAAAAAAAUGUAAGAAAAUAGGAUAACAAAUUCUAAGACUAAAUACUAUUAAUAAGUAUAGUAAGUACCGUAAGGGAAAGUAUGAAAAUGAUUAUUUUAUAAGCAAUCAUGAAUAUAUUAUAUUAUAUUAAUGAUGUACCUUUUGUAUAAUGGGUCAGCAAGUAAUUAAUAUUAGUAAAACAAUAAGUUAUAAAUAAAUAGAAUAAUAUAUAUAUAUAUAAAAAUAUAUUAAAAUAUUUAAUUAAUAUUAAUUGACCCGAAAGCAAACGAUCUAACUAUGAUAAGAUGGAUAAACGAUCGAACAGGUUGAUGUUGCAAUAUCAUCUGAUUAAUUGUGGUUAGUAGUGAAAGACAAAUCUGGUUUGCAGAUAGCUGGUUUUCUAUGAAAUAUAUGUAAGUAUAGCCUUUAUAAAUAAUAAUUAUUAUAUAAUAUUAUAUUAAUAUUAUAUAAAGAAUGGUACAGCAAUUAAUAUAUAUUAGGGAACUAUUAAAGUUUUAUUAAUAAUAUUAAAUCUCGAAAUAUUUAAUUAUAUAUAAUAAAGAGUCAGAUUAUGUGCGAUAAGGUAAAUAAUCUAAAGGGAAACAGCCCAGAUUAAGAUAUAAAGUUCCUAAUAAAUAAUAAGUGAAAUAAAUAUUAAAAUAUUAUAAUAUAAUCAGUUAAUGGGUUUGACAAUAACCAUUUUUUAAUGAACAUGUAACAAUGCACUGAUUUAUAAUAAAUAAAAAAAAAUAAUAUUUAAAAUCAAAUAUAUAUAUAUUUGUUAAUAGAUAAUAUACGGAUCUUAAUAAUAAGAAUUAUUUAAUUCCUAAUAUGGAAUAUUAUAUUUUUAUAAUAAAAAUAUAAAUACUGAAUAUCUAAAUAUUAUUAUUACUUUUUUUUUAAUAAUAAUAAUAUGGUAAUAGAACAUUUAAUGAUAAUAUAUAUUAGUUAUUAAUUAAUAUAUGUAUUAAUUAAAUAGAGAAUGCUGACAUGAGUAACGAAAAAAAGGUAUAAACCUUUUCACCUAAAACAUAAGGUUUAACUAUAAAAGUACGGCCCCUAAUUAAAUUAAUAAGAAUAUAAAUAUAUUUAAGAUGGGAUAAUCUAUAUUAAUAAAAAUUUAUCUUAAAAUAUAUAUAUUAUUAAUAAUUAUAUUAAUAAUAUAUAUAAUUAUAUUAUAUAUUUUUUUUUUAUAUAAUAUAAACUAAUAAAGAUCAGGAAAUAAUUAAUGUAUACCGUAAUGUAGACCGACUCAGGUAUGUAAGUAGAGAAUAUGAAGGUGAAUUAGAUAAUUAAAGGGAAGGAACUCGGCAAAGAUAGCUCAUAAGUUAGUCAAUAAAGAGUAAUAAGAACAAAGUUGUACAACUGUUUACUAAAAACACCGCACUUUGCAGAAACGAUAAGUUUAAGUAUAAGGUGUGAACUCUGCUCCAUGCUUAAUAUAUAAAUAAAAUUAUUUAACGAUAAUUUUAUUAAAUUUAGGUAAAUAGCAGCCUUAUUAUGAGGGUUAUAAUGUAGCGAAAUUCCUUGGCCUAUAAUUGAGGUCCCGCAUGAAUGACGUAAUGAUACAACAACUGUCUCCCCUUUAAGCUAAGUGAAAUUGAAAUCGUAGUGAAGAUGCUAUGUACCUUCAGCAAGACGGAAAGACCCUAUGCAGCUUUACUGUAAUUAGAUAGAUCGAAUUAUUGUUUAUUAUAUUCAGCAUAUUAAGUAAUCCUAUUAUUAGGUAAUCGUUUAGAUAUUAAUGAGAUACUUAUUAUAAUAUAAUGAUAAUUCUAAUCUUAUAAAUAAUUAUUAUUAUUAUUAAUAAUAAUAAUAUGCUUUCAAGCAUAGUGAUAAAACAUAUUUAUAUGAUAAUCACUUUACUUAAUAGAUAUAAUUCUUAAGUAAUAUAUAAUAUAUAUUAUAUAUAUAUUAUAUAUAAUAUAAGAGACAAUCUCUAAUUGGUAGUUUUGAUGGGGCGUCAUUAUCAGCAAAAGUAUCUGAAUAAGUCCAUAAAUAAAUAUAUAAAAUUAUUGAAUAAAAAAAAUAAUAUAUAUUAUAUAUAUUAAUUAUAAAUUGAAAUAUGUUUAUAUAAAUUUAUAUUUAUUGAAUAUAUUUUAGUAAUAGAUAAAAAUAUGUACAGUAAAAUUGUAAGGAAAACAAUAAUAACUUUCUCCUCUCUCGGUGGGGGUUCACACCUAUUUUUAAUAGGUGUUCACCCCUCUUCGGGGUUCCGGUUCCCUUUCGGGUCCCGGAACUUAAAUAAAAAUGGAAAGAAUUAAAUUAAUAUAAUGGUAUAACUGUGCGAUAAUUGUAACACAAACGAGUGAAACAAGUACGUAAGUAUGGCAUAAUGAACAAAUAACACUGAUUGUAAAGGUUAUUGAUAACGAAUAAAAGUUACGCUAGGGAUAACAGGGUAAUAUAACGAAAGAGUAGAUAUUGUAAGUUAUGUUUGCCACCUCGAUGUCGACUCAACAUUUCCUCUUGGUUGUAAAAGCUAAGAAGGGUUUGACUGUUCGUCAAUUAAAAUGUUACGUGAGUUGGGUUAAAUACGAUGUGAAUCAGUAUGGUUCCUAUCUGCUGAAGGAAAUAUUAUCAAAUUAAAUCUCAUUAUUAGUACGCAAGGACCAUAAUGAAUCAACCCAUGGUGUAUCUAUUGAUAAUAAUAUAAUAUAUUUAAUAAAAAUAAUACUUUAUUAAUAUAUUAUCUAUAUUAGUUUAUAUUUUAAUUAUAUAUUAUCAUAGUAGAUAAGCUAAGUUGAUAAUAAAUAAAUAUUGAAUACAUAUUAAAUAUGAAGUUGUUUUAAUAAGAUAAUUAAUCUGAUAAUUUUAUACUAAAAUUAAUAAUUAUAGGUUUUAUAUAUUAUUUAUAAAUAAAUAUAUUAUAAUAAUAAUAAUUAUUAUUAUUAAUAAAAAAUAU